rnacentral:rRNA from 1 species
UACGUAGGGUGCAAGCGUUGUCCGGAAUUAUUGGGCGUAAAGAGCUCGUAGGCGGUUUGUCGCGUCUGCUGUGAAAACUCGGGGCUUAACCCCGGGCCUGCAGUCGAUACGGGCGAGCUAGAGUUCGGCAGGGGAGACUGGAAUUCCUGGUGUAGCGGUGAAAUGCGCAGAUAUCAGGAGGAACACCGGUGGCGAAGGCGGGUCUCUGGGCCGAUACUGACGCUGAGGAGCGAAAGCGUGGGGAGCGAACAGG